AACGAACGCUGGCGGCAUGCUUAACACAUGCAAGUCGAACGAGACCUUCGGGUCUAGUGGCGCACGGGUGCGUAACGCGUGGGAAUCUGCCCUUUGCUACGGAAUAACUCAGAGAAAUUUGUGCUAAUACCGUAUAAUGUCGAAAGACCAAAGAUUUAUCGGCAAAGGAUGAGCCCGCGUAGGAUUAGCUAGUUGGUGAGGUAAAGGCUCACCAGGGCGACGAUCCUUGGCUGGUCUGAGAGGAUGAUCAGCCACACUGGGACUGAGACGCGGCCAAGACUCCUGCGGGAGGCAGCAGUGGGGAAUAUUGGACAAUGGGCGAAAGCCUGAUCCAGCAAUGCCGCGUGAGUGAUGAAGGCCUUAGGUUUGUAAAGCUCUUUUACCAGGGAUGAUAAUGACAGUACCUGGAGAAUAAGCUCCGGCUAACUCCGUGCCAGCCGCCGCGGUAA
rnacentral:rRNA from 1 species